rnacentral:lncRNA from 1 species
GGGAAAUUGGACUUUAGUUUGAUUUUUUGUGUGUCUUUGGUUUUAGUAUCAGGGUAAUACUGGCCUCAUAGAAUGAGUUAGGAAGUUUUCCCUUCUCUCCUAUUUUUUGGAGUAGUUUCAGUAGGAUUGACAUUAGUUGUUCUUUAAAUAUUUGGUACAACUCAGCAGUGAAGCCAUCAGGUCCUGGGCUUUUCUUUACUGGAGAUUUUUCUUGUUUCAGUUUUGAUCUCAUUACUUUUUAUUGGUCUGUGCAGGUUUUGGAUUUCUUCAUUGUUCAAUCUUGCAGAAGCAGUCCCUCAUAAUCACCACACCUGGGAAUGUGCCAAGUCUCAUCUGAAGUAAGCGCAGCUCUGAGUCUCACCCAACGCUCAUGGUGAGUACUGCCUGGGUACUGUUGCUGACUAUUCAGCACCCAAGGGCUCUUUGUUCAGCAGGUGAUAAAUCUUGCCAGGACUAGCUGCUUCCCUUCAAGGCAAUAGGAUCCCUUCUUGCCCAAGCUGUAU